UACGUAGGGUGCAAGCGUUAAUCGGAAUACUGGGCGUAAAGCGUGCGCAGGCGGUGAUGUAAGACAGUUGUGAAAUCCCCGGGCUCAACCUGGGAACUGCAUCUGUGACUGCAUCGCUGGAGUGCGGCAGAGGGGGAUGGAAUUCCGCGUGUAGCAGUGAAAUGCGCAGAUAUGCGGAGGAACACCGAUGGCGAAGGCAAUCCCUGGCUGCACUGACGCUCAUCGCACGAAGCGUAGGGAGAACAGGAUAUAACCUACGUGUCCGAGAACCAAGGCAUCUAGUACCUGUCAAUUA
rnacentral:rRNA from 1 species